rnacentral:rRNA from 1 species
GGGGAGCUUGCUCCCGCUGACGACCGGCGCACGGGUGCGGAACGCGUAUGGAACCUGCCCCUGUCAGAGGAAUAGCCCAUGGAAACGUGGAUUAAUGCCUCAUGGUAUUGUGAAGUUGCAUGAUUUUACAAUUAAAGAUUUAUCGGACAGGGAUGGCCAUGCGUAUCAUUAGCUAGUUGGGGAGGUAACGGCUCACCAAGGCGACGAUGAUUAGGGGCCCUGAGAGGGGGAUCCCCCACACUGGUACUGAGACACGGACCAGACUCCUACGGGAGGCAGCAGUGAGGAAUAUUGGACAAUGGUCGCAAGACUGAUCCAGCCAUGCCGCGUGCAGGAAGACGGCCCUACGGGUUGUAAACUGCUUUUCUACAGGAAGAAAGGUUCCCUUGCGAGGGAGAUUGACGGUACUGUAGGAAUAAGGACCGGCUAACUCCGUGCCAGCAGCCGCGGUAAUACGGAGGGUCCGAGCGUUAUCCGGAAUCAUUGGGUUUAAAGGGUCCGUAGGUGGGGUUCUAAGUCAGAGGUGAAAGGUUGCAGCUCAACUGUAGAAUUGCCUUUGAUACUGGAGCUCUUGAGUUAUGUUGCUGUGGCCGGAACAUGUGGUGUAGCGGUGAAAUGCAUAGAUAUCACAUAGAACACCGAUUGCGAAGGCAGGUCACAAAGCAUACACUGACACUGAGGGACGAAAGCGUGGGGAGCGAACGGGAUUAGAUACCUUGGUA